rfam:Oscillibacter sp. 57_20 Ley3_66761_scaffold_324, whole genome shotgun sequence.
CUUUGUCAACAGGGGAGCUUGCGCAAGCAGGCUGAGAGUGGGAUGUAUUGCCCAGACCCGUAAACCUGAUUUGGAUAAUGCCAACGUAGGGAGAUACCGUCGCUGACAC